UCGUUUAUUAACAUGAAAACCUUUACCAUCCACUUACCUCGGUGGAAUUUAUGAAAACAAUAUAAGAAAAAUAAUAACAUUAUCACAAUCAUGGAAUAAUAUAAGCUGUAAAACAUAGCACUUAUCACGCCUUUUGUAAUUCAAUCAUUAUACAACAUAUCCUUUUCUCAUUUACCAGCCUACUAGUAUCCAUGGGGGUCUCUAGGGGUCCCGCUACCCGUUAACCUUUAACAUUCAUAAUCAGUUUCCAGGGCCGUCCCCAUACCCCGUCCGGUAUGAGCGCCAAAACCAUAAACCUCAAUACCCCGUCCGGUAUGAGGGUGAAAACGGGCCGUCCCCAUACCCCGUCCGGUAUGGGCGCCAAAACCAUAAGAUCUCCAUACCCCGUCCGGUAUGUGAGACCACAAUCCCGGUAGGGUUCCCUACGGACCCGGUCCGUCCACCAUCUCCCAGGAUAUCUAGUCAGGCUGACCCCAUCAUACAAUUAUCAGUCUAUACAAUGUUUCAUUUCCCUUUUCCUCAAUAAGCAUCAUCAAUUCACAUUUAAACAAGCAAAUCGUAAUUCAUGCCGAACAGACAACAUACAGUAUCACUUCUUCAGUCAUUCAACCCAUAAUUAAUAAAACAGUAAUAUAUGCAUUCGAAACUAUAAAAUGAACACAUCAAACCCCAUAAUGCAUUUAAAGCUAUAAAACAGGCCAAAUAACAGUAAAUCAUCAAUCACACUAGACUCG
rnacentral:lncRNA from 1 species